rnacentral:rRNA from 1 species
GACGAACGCUGGCGGCGUGCCUAAUACAUGCAAGUCGAGCGGAAGUUGGAGAGCUUGCUCUUCAACUUUAGCGGCGGACGGGUGAGUAACACGUGGGCAACCUGCCCUGCAGAUCGGGAUAACUCCGGGAAACCGGUGCUAAUACCGAAUAGUUUUCGCCACCUCCUGGUGGCGUACGGAAAGACGGUUUCGGCUGUCACUGCAGGAUGGGCCCGCGGCGCAUUAGCUAGUUGGUGGGGUAACGGCCCACCAAGGCGACGAUGCGUAGCCGACCUGAGAGGGUGAUCGGCCACAGUGGGGCUGAGACACGGCCAGGACUCCCAGGGGGGGCAGCAGUAGGGAAUCGUCCGCAAUGGACGAAAGUCUGACGGAGCAACGCCGAGUGAGUGACGAAGGUUUUCGGAUCGUAAAGCUCUGUUGUGAGGGAAGAACAAGUACCAAUUAACUACUGGUAUCUUGACGGUACCUCACCAGAAAGCCACGGCUAACUGCGUGCCAGCCGCCGCCGUAACAC